CUUUGUUUUCUUCUGAAAAAUUUUCUGUUUCGACCUAAGCUUUUGCUGUAUCUGUAAAGGACAGUGAUUUAAGUGUGGUUUGAAGUGCAGUCAAUUAGGUGAGAAGUGUUUCUUGAGUUCUAUCUUUGUGUUUGUAAACUGUUGGAUGCAGUCUUUUUUGUAGUGAGAUGCAAGGCUAAUAAGUUUUACUCUAAUUACGUUCUUAUUUGCCUUCAAUAAUAUAUGAACGGGGGUGGGUGAAUGGAGACGUAUUAAUGGCCCACCGAUUUAUA